UACGUAGGUGGUUUAUUAAGUCAGAUGUGAAAGCCCUGGGCUUAACCUGGGAACUGCAUUUGAUACUGGUAAACUAGAGUAUGGUAGAGGGGGGUAGAAUUCCUAGUGUAGCGGUGAAAUGCGUAGAUAUUAGGAGGAAUACCAGUGGCGAAGGCGGCCCCCUGGGCCUAUACUGACACCGAGGUACGAAAGCGUGGGUAGCGAACA
rnacentral:rRNA from 1 species